GAAUGGCCGCAGUAUUUUAACUGUGCUAAGGUAGCAUAAUCAUUUGUCUUUUAAUUGAGGGCUGGAAUGAAGGGUUGGACGAGGUAUUAGCUUUCUUUAAUUUAGUUAGAAGAAUUUAAUUUUUGAGUUAAAAAGCUUAAAUUUAUUUGUGGGACGAGAAGACCCUAUAGAUCUUUAUAGUUUAAUACUUUAGUAAUUUAGGGAUUUAUGUACUUUAAGUAGAAGAACUAUUUUGUUGGGGUGACUGUAGAAUUUGAAUAACUUCUA
rnacentral:rRNA from 1 species